UACGGAGGAUCCAAGCGUUAUCCGGAUUCAUUGGGUUUAAAGGGUGCGUAGGCGGAAUGAUAAGUCAGUGGUGAAAUCCUGCAGCUUAACUGUAGAACUGCCAUUGAUACUGUCAAUCUUGAGUACAUUUGAUGAGGGCGGAAUGUGUCAUGUAGCGGUGAAAUGCUUAGAUAUGACACAGAACACCGAUUGCGAAGGCAGCUCUCAAAACUGUAACUGACGCUGAGGCACGAAAGCGUGGGUAUCAAACAGGAUUAGAAACCCCAGUAGUCC
rnacentral:rRNA from 1 species